rnacentral:lncRNA from 10 species
CAGGGUCAGCUGCCUCAGGAUCCCCAGCUCUGGCCCCCAGAUGAGGUCCACAGGGCAGAGCAGUGGUGUAGUUCACUUCUCAGGGGUUCUGACAACCAGCCAGACUGGAGGGGCAAGUUUAACCUCCUCAUGGGGAGUAGGGAGGCUCAGAGGGGCAAGCCACUUGCCCGGGGUGGCCCCAAAAGCGAGAGCCCCUUCCUCUGCCAGGCUCCCCUCCCUAGGCAGGGCUGGCGCUCGCUCACCUCGAAGAACCUCUCCACGUGCUCCGCCGGCGCGUCCUCCCGCAGGAUGGGGUAGGUGUGGCGGCCCAUCAUGUCAUAGAUGGACUUCAUGAUGGCCAGCAUCUCCUGGAGGGGGAGGCUGGCAUGAGCCUGCUGCAAGGCCGGGGUGGCUGUGAGGGCCCAAAGGGAGCGGGCGGCAUCCAAGGGUGCAGGGCACCUCCAAGGCAGUGAGUGCGAGGGGCCGGACGAGCUGGAGAGAGAAGCCUGUCCGCUUCCAGGGCACCCAGAGCGAGCUUCUGACUCUAGGGGAAGCUCAUCUCCCAGAGAAGUGGGAGAUGGAUUGCUAUGUGCUUAUCUCCAAAAUGUGACGCGGCAGCAGAAAAAGUGCUUGGACCAAACAAAACCUGUCUGUGGGCCCAUGUGCGAGGGCUCCCCUCUCCACCCAUGCCUUAAGGGACCGCACUGCCCCCUUCACUUGAUGGGGGCCAAGGCCAGGACCUCUGGCUUCUCCACUUAAAUCUCCCCGAGGCCUUUUGUGUAAGACAGUAUGACCGAGAACACUUGCUGAGCUGGACCGAGAUGUGUGGUACAGGGUACCUGAACCCACACUCCACACCGGGGUGUCCAGGACCGAGCCCAGGAGAGGAGAGCCCACUGGCUGCUGUCCCUGGGGCCAGUCUCUGGAUGGACAGCGGGAGAAGACAGAGAUUAAAGGCCCACUUGAGCUUCUCGUGGACUGUGCCCCGCAGCAGGAUGGAGAGGCCAACCACAAAGUCCUAUGGGGAAAGGAGAGUGUGGGGCGUGACAUCCAAUCAAUGCCCAGGUUCUAGUUCCAGUUGCUGUGUGGCUUCCACUGAAAUUCACGCCUCCAACAGGCACAGAGCCUCCCUAAGAGACUGACGGCAUCCAUUCAGGUCAGCACAGGGUGAGUGUGUGCCCGUGUGUGAGCGCAUGCACGGGUGUGCACCUGUGUGUGUGAACUUGUGUGAGGGUGUGCACCUGUGUGAGAACUUGUGUGAGGGUGUGCACCUGUGUGAGGGUGUGCAUCUGUAUGUGUGAACCUGUGAGGGUGUGCACCUGUGUGUGCACCUGUGUGAGUGUGUGAACCUGUGUGAGUGCAUGCGCAUGUGUCUGCAUGUGUGGCAGGAGUGGCAUGGUAGCUGAUACUGAUGCCAGAGAAAGAUAUUCAAAUAUAUAUGGUGUCCUAGACCCAUUUAAUGCAGUGCUGCCGCUGGAGACGCCUGGGGUACUCUUUUAAUAAAGGAGGUGCUCUAUGUUUAUUCUGCCAAGCAUCUGCAUGGCAAAGGUGCUUGAAAACUUCCAGAUUAAAUAGCUAGAGGAAUGAUGCUCAGCUUUUUGUUUGUUGUUGUUUUUAGAGACAGAGUCUCAGACUGUCACCAGUCGCCAUCAUGGCUCACUGCAGUCCCAAACUCCCAGGCUCAAGCGAUCCUCCACCUCAGCCUCCUGAGUAGCUGGGACCACUCGGAAUAAUCCAUGCCUGGCUAAUUUAUUUUAUACUUAUAGAGAUGGGGUCUCGCUAUGUUGUCCAGGCUGGUCUCCAACUCCUGGCCCCAAGUAAUCCUCCUACCUUGGGCUUCAGAAGUGCUGGGAUUACAGGUGUAAUCCCAGGGCCACCUCGCCCAAACCUGGUGCUCAACUCUUGAGUCAUGACAUGCUGUGUGUGGCCAUCGCCUUUGGCAUGGGAAACUUUACUACUAAUAUGACAGAAUAUGGCUGUUUAAAUGGUUUCCAUGUGACAACUUCAACUGUUUUGUUACAGCAGUUGGUAGAAAGCAGGUUUUCCCCCUACCUCUUGGAAGGUUUAAAGGUGAAACCCUCCCUGCACCCUGGGGUCCUCCCAGGCUACUCUGAAAGAAAGGGGUGAGAAAGGGGCUGUACCAGCGAAGUGGGACAGAGGACGGUCAGAGUGCAAGGGACAGGGCCAUGCACCAAGGCCCCGAGGCCCCUCAAGUGUUAGAUUUUCGGGACUGGAAGA